rnacentral:rRNA from 1 species
UCGCGCGAUUCGCCUUACGGCUCAGUAACACGUCGAUAAUCUGCCCUAAGGUUGAGGAUACCCACGGAAAACUGUGGCUAAUACUUGAUAGUGAACGGAUUCUGGAACGAACCAUUCAUUAAACGUAAGGCCUUAGGAUGAGUCGGCGGCGGAUUAGGCAGUUGGCGGUGUAACGGACCACCAAACCUUAGAUCCGUAGGGGCCCUGAGAGGGGUAGCCCCGAGAGGGACACUGAAAUACUGGUCCCAGCUCCACGGAGUGCAGCAGGCGCGAAACCUCCACAAUGCGCGAAAGCGUGAUGGGGGGAUCCCGAGUGCUUACAUUUUAUGUAAGCUUUUGCCAAGAGUUCACAUCUUGGAGAAUAAGUGGUGGGUAAGACCGGUGCCAGCGGCCGCGGUAACCCCGGCGCCACGAGUGGCAAUCUUUUAUUGGGCCUAAAGCAUUCGUAGCCGGUUUGAAAAAUUCCUUGUGAAAUUGUUGAACUUAAUACAACAGCGCGCAGGGAACACUUUCAGACUAGAGACUGGGAGGAGUUGGGGGUAUGCCUAGGGGAGCGGUUAAAUGCGAUAAUCCUAGGUAGACCACCUGUGGCGAAGGCGCCCAACUAGAACAGUUCUGACGGUGAGGGAUGAAAGCUAGGGUAGCGAUCCCGGAUUAGAUACCCGAGUAGUCCUAGCUGUAAACACUGCGAGCAAGGUGUUCGCAUAUUCUACGAGAAUAUGCGGUGUCGUAACGAAAGGUGCAGCUCGCCGCUUGGGAAGUACCGGUCGCAGACUGAAAUUAAAGGAUUGGCGGGGGAGCACAAGGGCGAAUUCGUUUAACCUGCAGACUGAUCCUUAAUGAGGUUAAAUCUGACAUGCGUAUCCAUGGUACUAGCUG